AGAACGAACGUUAGCGGCGCGCUUAACACAUGCAAGUCGCACGAGAAAGGGGGGCAACCCCCCGGUACAGUGGCGCACGGGUGAGUAACACGUAGGUAACGUACCCUUGAGUGGUGGAUAACCUUCCGAAAGGAGGGCUAAUACAGCAUAUGACCACGGCGACGAAAGUCACUGAGGUAAAAGUGGGCCUCUAUACAUAAGCUCGCGCUCGGGGAUCGGCCUGCGGCCCAUCAGCUAGUUGGCAGGGUAACGGCCUACCAAGGCGACGACGGGUAGCUGGUCUGAGAGGACGACCAGCCACACUGGGACUGAGACACGGCCCAGACUCCUACGGGAGGCAGCAGUGGGGGAUAUUGCGCAAUGGGCGAAAGCCUGACGCAGCGACGCCGCGUGGGAUGAAUGCCUUCGGGUUGUAAACCCCUUUCGGCAGGGACGAAGCGAUUGUGACGGUACCUGCAGAGAAGCUCCGGCUAACUACGUGCCAGCAGCCGC
rnacentral:rRNA from 1 species